GACGAACGCUGGCGGCGUGCUUAACACAUGCAAGUCGAACGGAAAGGCCCUGCUUUUGUGGGGUGCUCGAGUGGCGAACGGGUGAGUAACACGUGAGUACCUGCCCUUGACUUUGGGAUAACUUCAGGAAACUGGGGCUAAUACCGGAUAGGAGCUCCUGCUGCCUUGUGGGGGUUGGAAAGUUUCGGCGGUUGGGGAUGGACUCGCGGCUUAUCAGCUUGUUGGUGGGGUAGUGGCUUACCAAGGCUUUGACGGGUAGCCGGCCUGAGAGGGUGACCGGCCACAUUGGGACUGAGAUACGGCCCAGACUCCUACGGGAGGCAGCAGUGGGGAAUAUUGCACAAUGGGCGGAAGCCUGAUGCAGCAACGCCGCGUGCGGGAUGACGGCCUUCGGGUUGUAAACCGCUUUCGCCUGUGACGAAGCGUGAGUGACGGUAAUGGGUAAAGAAGCACCGGCUAACUACGUG
rnacentral:rRNA from 1 species